AUGUUCUCGUGUUGCUUCCCCACUUCGAGAGGUUGCUGCUUCAGGAAUGGAGGGAGUGAGAGCCUUUUCCGACAAUGCCGAAGAAGGCUCAUCCCUCACCCCAGACGCCUGUGGCCCUUUGUAAGAAGGCGCACCCAGGUACCACAGGACAGCCCGGGGCAGGCCCUAGCUGGCCAGGCCACACCAUAGAUCCCAUCGGGGCUGCCUCUGUACAUUGUCCUUGUCCAGGAGGAGAUUCGGGAGCCCAUGGAGGCACAGACACAUGCUCCUGGUCCAUACGCAGACAUAGCAGCACUUGCGGCACCGGCUGUCGAGCCAAAGCCAGCAUGGGAAGAGCCCCCUCCAGAGAGAGCGCUGGAGGUGGAGGGAGCUCCAGCCAAGGACCAGCCCAGCCAGGAGCUGCCUGAAAUCAUGGUGGUGCUCAAGAGCAUUAAAACAAGGCUGGGAAGAAGAGUUCCAGCAGCUCCUCCUGCUCUCAGACGCAAUCUUCUCCUCCAGGCAUGGAUGUGUGUCUGCAACUGGGCAUCCAGGCUGUUUGCCCCCUAAUGUGCUGCCCCGAACGGGCUCUUAA